GUGCAUGUGGGGCACAGUGCUGUCUGUGGUUUCAGCACCCACUGGGGGGAUCUUGGAGUCCCCCCGAGGAUGAGAGGGAGCUGCUGCACCACUCAUCUAGCAGAUGUCCCAUGGGGGGAUUGCUCGGCACUGGAGGUGGAAGGGGGCCUGCCCAGCUUGCCUGCCCAGCUUCCCUGCCCACCUGCCCCUAGUGCAGCUUCGCCAUUGCUCCCUGGGCUACCAACCCGAAGCUACACAUUUUUAUCCUUGGGGUUUGUGUGAGUGUUAACCUGCUUCCCACAGAGUCUCCAGGAAACACACCUGUGCAGGUGUGCACUACGGUGCCCCUUGGGUACAAAUGCAUUUCAGAAUUCAGCAAUUUAAGAAUUUUAAAAGAUGAACUCAGAGCGCCGCUUGGUCUGCCGGAAAGUGGAGUGCAAGAGGGAUGGCCCCAAGCGCUCAGCCGGUCCUUCCCUGCUCUCCUGAUGUUGAGACUGCGUUCAUGUCCAGAGCUUUCAGAAGGCAGUCCGUCUGUCCACAGCACCGAGAGUUUUGAUGCCCAAUGACUCAAAAGAACAGAAGAAACAAAGGAGAGGUGGCCAAAGGACAGUGUCUGAGUGCCCAAGUGAGGGGAAGGGCGUGUGGCAACGGGGCACGCGUAAGCCAGGCACCAGCCCUGCCACAAAGGCAUCUCUGUGUGUGUCACGCCCGCAAGCAUGAAAUCUCUCUCUCCUGUUUCCUGGGCUUCACAGGGCGCCGUCUGACAGCACCGAGAGUGAAGCCAGGGAAGGAGAAACUGCUCCUGUGUUGACAGACGGAUGAACCAAUAAAGAAAAGGUGUCAGGGCCGUACAAGGGAUGGCCUGUUACUCGCCAAGGUACAGACACAACUGUGACACAGCUGGUCUCCAGGACAAUGUGUUCAAAGAGAAGACGCAGUGACAAAAGGCCACGUUCUGCUUGAUUUCGUUUGUAAGACACGUCCACAAGCAGCAAAUCUAGAGGCUGCGAGGGCCAAGGUGGGAAUGGAAAGUGAACGCUAAGGAGUGUGGAGUUACUACUGGGGGUGACUAAAAUUCUCUACGGUUAGACCGUGGGAGUGGGUGCACGAGGCUGAAUGGACUAAAAACGACAAGCUGGAUGCCGUGAGUGGGAAAGACCGUGGCAUGUGAAUUAAAUGUCAAUGAAGCCGGGAAAUCCGACAGCCAGGACUGUUUUGUACAGAGGUUAGCUUUCAGAGGGCAGGGCGGCAGCCCUGAGGAGCACACCCAGGACUUCAAUGUUAACUCAGAGCAGGCGAUGGGCCAUUAAGGCUGCGUCUAACUGCAUGAAGGAGUGAAAGUCAGCAUCAAAUCUAACCGGAAAUUUGAAAGAGUGUGUGCACAGUCAUUGAAGAUGUGCACACAGGAUCCAAAGAAAAGUGGAUGGUCUGAAGUUUCCGUUAUGCAACCUGUCAGCCAGCCUGGCUCCUCUGAUCUGGGGGCUGUGGGAAGCCAGCAGCUGCACCCGAGCUCCGAGUAACGUCACUCAGGUCGGGCAUCCCACGGCUCUGGGGGAAGGAUGCUUCAUACUCACAGGUAUAUUGUGGCUUGGCAUACAGAUUAUGACAAUGUUUCUGAAGACUUUGGUCAAGGUUUUUAAGGGAGAACUAUUCCUUAUUUGUUCCAAGCUUCCAUUUGGGCCCUGAGGGAUGCUGACCUGACUGGACUUGGGCAGCGACAGAGAAGGGGGUGGGCAGGCACACGGCUGGAGAUAGGAAGAAGAGGAAGGAGGCUACGGUGAUGCCCUCGGUGACAGGUGAGGGGAGGCGGGAAGGGGUGAGAACAAGGGGAUGGUCAGGACCGGAGCUCUUGCAAAGUUGUUUCAGUUCAGGGCAGAGAUCGGCUAGAGACCCCAGUUUAGGAGUCACAGAAAUGAGAAGGCAGUUGAAGCUGAGAGAACGGGUAAGUUCACAUGAGGAAGAGCAAGGCACCAGGGCUGGUCGGUGUGCAGGUGUGAGCAGCCUGAGGAACAGGAGCACCGUCUGCAGGUAGCAGGUGGUGGGCGGACAGGACGUUCGGAGAGGAUGUGCGUGGGGAGACAGAGAAGAGGUGGCCAGACCUCAGGGCUGUGGACUGUGUGGGCCUCCAGGAGACCACUUGCAGCAGGAGGUUGAUGGAAAAUGGGCUGGAAGCAGACAGAGAGGUGACGGAAUAAUGGCUGCUCAAGAAGCAGACAGAGUGAGUGCAGGAGGCGACGCUGGAGAGGAGACCCACAGAGCUGGAGUGGGAGAGGGAAGGAGAUCGCUGGGAGUUUCCUCUGGGGGACUGAGACGAUGUCUUGGCACAGUAGGUAAUGGACCUUUAGUGAACAGGAGCCAUAUCACAUAUACUCCUGCGUAUCUAAGGCAAACUUGGUGCUGAAUGAUUAUGUCCCAUAUUUCCUGAGACAGAGCCUCAAGCUGUCAACCUGGGUAGAGUGCUGUGACAUCAUAGCUCACAGAAACCUCCAGCUCCUGGGCUCAAGCGAUUCUCCUGCCUCCGCCUCCCAAGUAGCUGGGACUACAGGCGCCUGCCACAACGCCCGGCUAUUUUUUGGUUGCAACCGUCAUUGUUAUUUGGCAGGCCCGGGCUGGAUUCAAACCUGACAGCUCAGGUGUAUGUGGCUGGUGCCUUAGCUGCUUGAGCCAUAGGCACCGAGCCAAUAAGACAUCUUUUUAUUGGGAAAAGAAUCUAUUAUUUUUAGCUUUAAAUGGUUUUUGAAAUUGCCUCUGUUUGCAGUAUUGAGAACCACAUUUUGUGUCCUUUUGUAGUGUAAGAACUCUAGAUGUGGGGAAGGAAGCUCACCAGGACAGUGUCAGGACCCAGCCCCCGUCUCAAAGAGUUCCACUUUCCCUUCUCUUUCAAAUGCACCACACAGCGGUGAACUUGGGAGAGUUCUGAUGUGGAAGCCUGGGAGUGGCUUGGAGACUCAGAGGCCAAGGCGGGUCCAGAAGCCCAACUUGCACUUUAAUUUCUUCCUUCUGCUGUCUCUGAACCAGCCAGGACCCAGUGUCUAAAACCAUUGGUCAUGCACCAAAGCUGUUCAACUGGCUGGGGGAAUUUGUUAAAAAAAAAAAAGUAGCUGGAACUAUUUUGCUAUCCCAUUGUAUCAUGAUUAGGCUCUUAUGGGAAGGGGGUUUGCAAAAUAAAAAGCAGGACAUGUUACAACGUGGGGGAAGAAAGCAUGACAUCGUGAGUGCAUGGCGUCCUUUCAAAAGCGGGACGUGUGACAGCAUGUGACGUUACGACGUCAUCACUACUUUCUGAUUUCCAGAGAACGAUAUAUUUAUCACAGUGAACAGUGAUGAGAUUAUGGAGAUUUUCAUUAUCUUCUUUGUACGUUUGAACAUUUAAAAGUAAUUUUUGCUAUUAUCCUAUGUCUUUUCUGUAUUUUCUGCACAUAUGCACAUGCUUGUUAUUAUUUAUAUAAUUAAGGCCAGUGCUCAAGGUGUUGGAUAAACGAAUCUGCUUUUUGGUGAGUUUUCCCUUAGAAAUGCAUGACAAAUUGUAUUGCUAAAUAUGUGUAUUUCCUAUGUGAUUUGAUGAUUUGUAUCAUCUUCAUAUCAGCCCAACCCUGUGCAGGCACUCCAGGUUUGUGCUCCUUUUACACUACUGGACACUUAGACUGUCCUCCCUCUAAUCCUAAUCAUAUGUAAUGUUACAGUGAGUAGAAAUCUUUUCCUAAAAUCCUUUUAUUACCCUUAGGAUAGUCUGAUAACCUCACAUUAUAUAUCCGACAUCAUACAGAAUGAUUUUGUUUAAUUUAAUUUUAUUUAUCUUAUUUAUUUUAUUUUAUGAAACAGGGCUACCCAGGCUGGUAUUCAGAGGCAUCAAUCACAGCUCACUGCAACCUUGAAUUCCUGGGCUCAAGUAAUCUUCCUGCCUUAACCUCCAAAAGUAGCUGAGAUUACAGGUGUAUGCCAUCACAUCCAGCUAAUUUUUAAUUUUUUUGUAGUGACAGGGUCUUUCUAUGAGGUCUAGGCUGAUCUCAAACUCCUGGCCUCAAACAAUCCCCCAGCCUUGGACUCCCAAAGUACUAGGAUCACAUGCAUAAGACACCUGUUGUUUGUUUGUUUGUUUUUGAGAUAGGAUCUCAUCCUGUCGCCCUAAGUAAAGUGACAUCAUCAUAACUCACAGCAGCCUCAAAUUCCUGGCUCAAGAUAUCCUCCCUCCUCAUUCUCCAGAGUGGCUAGGACUAUAGGCACCCAAGGCUACCAUACCUACUGAUUUGUUUUUGUAAAGACAGGAUUUCACUCUUGCUUAGGCUGGCUUCAAAUUCCUGACUUCAAGGAAUCCUCCUGCCUCAACCUCCCAAAGUACUGGGAUUACAAGCUUUGGCCACCACCGUGCCUGGCCCCAGAAUGCAAUUUUAAGGGUCUUGUGUUUAUUGUCAAACUCCCCUUAGAAUAGUUAUUCUAAUUGAUAUCCCCUUGAACUGGCAUGAAUUCUCAUUUUUCUGCACUUUCACUAAGUGCUGGACAUAUAUUAAAAAGAAAGAUGUGGGUCAAUUUCAUAGGGUAAGUGUUGAAGAUUUAUGUGUACAUAUAAUCUGAAAAAUUGGUUGAAAUUAUUCAAAUUUUUAUUUGAUUACCAAUGAGGUUAAAAUAGCUCUUUAUCUAUUUACCACCCAUUUGUAUCUUUGCUUCAGUGACCUGCCUGUUCAUGUUUUAACAAAUUUUCUAUUGAUCUAUUACAUCCGUGUGUUUAUCUUUAUUUAUUUAUAUAAUUCCUUCAUAUAGUCUUUUCUCUGGCAAGUAUAUUGUGGUAUGUCUUCUUAGUAAAGUAUUUCAAGAAUGGAAGAAAAAGUACCUAAUGUACUCAGACUUACUAUGAAACUAAUUUAGGGUUUGCACAUAAAAGCUAUAACCCAGUUAUAACCCAAGAAUAGGGGGA